rnacentral:rRNA from 1 species
CCUACGGGGGGCAGCAGUGAGGAAUAUUGGUCAAUGGGCGGAAGCCUGAACCAGCCAAGUCGCGUGAGGGAAUAAGGCCCUACGGGUCGUAAACCUCUUUUGCCGGGGAGCAAGGGCGGGGACGUGUCCCGGCCCGGAGAGUACCCGGAGAAAAAGCAUCGGCUAACUCCGUGCCAGCAGCCGCGGUAAUACGGAGGAUGCGAGCGUUAUCCGGAUUUAUGGGGUUUAAAGGGUGCGUAGGCGGGCUUUUAAGUCAGCGGUAAAAAUUCGGGGCUCAACCCCGUCCGGCCGUUGAAACUGGGGGCAUUGAGUGGGCGAGAAGAAGGCGGAAUGCGUGGUGUAGCGGUGAAAUGCAUAGAUAUCACGCAGAACCCCGAUUGCGAAGGCAGCCUUCCGGCGCCCUACUGACGCUGAUGCACGAAAGCGUGGGUAUCAAACAGGAUUAGAUACCCGAGUAGUC